rnacentral:lncRNA from 1 species
CCGGGCAGAGCGCGUGUGGCGGCCGAGCACAUGGGCCCGCGGGCCGGGCGGGCUCGGGGCGGCCGGGACGAGGAGGGGCGACGACGAGCUGCGAGCAAAGAUGUGCCCCGGGACCCCCGGCACCUUCCAGUGGAUUUCCUUGCGGAAAGGAUGUUGGCGGUCCCUGUGACCUGUGGAGACACGGCCAGAUCUGCCCUCCAGACCAUAGCUGUCUGCAGUGCAGGAAGCCAACUAUUAAGGGGAAACAAAAGUGUUCUUAGGAGUCCUGCUGUCACUGUGGAUUGAGCCGGUGAAGCCCUGAGGGAUUUCAUCGCUGAGGUGGAUGGAGAAGCAGCUGGGGGCCUUGGCUGUAAGGACCCCUAAGGGCCUGAUCUUUUGGCCAGAAGGAGAUUAAAAAGAUGCCCCUCAAGAUGGCUGUGCCUGUCAGCUGCAUGGAGCUUCGUUCAAGUAUUUUCUGAGCCUGAUGGAUUUACAGUGAUCUUCAGUGGUCUGGGGAAUAACGCUGGUGGAACCAUGCACUGGAAUGACACACGCCCGGCACAUUUCAGGAUACUAAAAGUGGUUUUAAGGGAGGCUGUGGCUGAAUGCCUCAUGGAUUCUUACAGCUUGGAUGUCCAUGGGGGACGAAGGACUGCAGCUGGCUGAGAGGGUUGAGAUCUCUGUUUACUUAGAUCUCUGCCAACUUCCUUUGGGUCUCCCUAUGGAAUGUAAGACCCCGACUCUUCCUGGUGAAGCAUCUGAUGCACGUUCCAUCCGGCGCUCAGCUGGGCUUGAGGACUUCGCAGGUGAGCAGUAACGGAAAUCAGCCCCGUUUAUUCCUCCCAGCACCUGCCUUAUCCAACUCCCCACGCUGUGGCUGAGUCCCAGCCUGCUAUGGAAGCAUCACUGGACUCCCAUUGAACUCUGUGCAGAUUCGCUGUUCGUAGACAUGGUACCUGAUGGACACCAAGCUACGUACAGCUUCAAGGCCCCUUCUUUCUUUGCUAAUAAAAAAUAAAAAAUAAAAACAUAAUACAC